AAUGAACGUUGGCGGCGUGGAUUAGGCAUGCAAGUCGCGCGGAAAGGCCCCUUCGGGGGUGCUCGAGCGGCGAAAGGGAGAGUAACCCGUGGAUUACCUACCCUCAGGCCCGGGAUAGCUGCGGGAAACCGCAAUUAAUACCGGAUAAUGUCCCUGGACCAAAGGUGUGAUUCCUCCUGAGGAUGGGUCCGCGUCCUAUUAGCUAGUUGGUAGGGUAACGGCCUACCAAGGCGAUGAUGGGGUACUGGGUGGAGAGCAUGACCCACGCUCACUGGGACUGAGACACUGCCCACGACACCUACGGGUGGCUGCAGUCGAGGAUCUUCGGCAAUGAGCGCAAGCUUGACCGAGCGACGCCGCGUGC
rnacentral:rRNA from 1 species